rnacentral:rRNA from 1 species
UACGAAGGGGGCUAGCGUUGCUCGGAAUCACUGGGCGUAAAGGGUGCGUAGGCGGGUCUUUAAGUCAGGGGUGAAAUCCUGGAGCUCAACUCCAGAACUGCCCUUGAUACUGAGGAGCUUGAGUCCGGGAGAGGUGAGUGGAACUGCGAGUGUAGAGGUGAAAUUCGUAGAUAUUCGCAAGAACACCAGUGGCGAAGGCGGCUCACUGGCCCGGUACUGACGCUGAGGUGCGAAAGCGUGGGGAGCAAACAGG